rnacentral:tRNA from 1 species
UGCGGGGUAGAGCAGUUUGGUAGCUCGCAAGGCUCAUAACCUUGAGGUCACGGGUUCAAAUCCAGUCUCCGCAA